rnacentral:rRNA from 1 species
CCCUUAGAUGUUCUGGGCCGCACACGCGCUACACUGAUGCAUUCAACGAGUCUAAAACCUGGUCUGAGAGGGCUGGGUAAUCUUUUGAAAGUGCAUCGUGAUUGGGAUAGAUGAUUGCAAUUCUUCAUCUUCAACGAGGAAUGCCUAGUAAACGCAAGUCAUCAGCUUGCAUUGAUUACGUCCCUGCCCUUUGUACACACCGCCCGUCGCUCCUACCGAUUGAACGAUCCGAUGAAAACUGUGGAUUGAGAGUCUGAGUGGGUUCGCCUACCUCAACUUUCGAGAAGCGGUUUAAAUCUUAUCGUUUAGAGGAAGGAGAAGUCGUAACA